UUGGAUCAAUUAUGUUUUUUUUAAAAAAAAAAAUUGGGCAUUUCAUAUUGUUUACACAUGAGUACAGCAAGACCAGUCAAAAGAAAGAAGGUUCAAACUUUGCCGAAAGAGCGAUUAACUUUAAACGUUCCAAACUUUUUCUGUAUGCAAGAUAAGGCGAUGGCGAUUUUUGUGCUCCUCGAUCCAGGAGAGGCGGAGUAGGAUGCAAGCGGCGUUCUUGCGUGCAGCAGGGAUGCGGCUCUUGAGGGCGUGGUCAAUGGGGGCGGAUGGCACCUGCGGGGGCGAAGAAAAAGGCAUUUGGCGCCAUGCUCUUGAAGUUGUUCUUCAUGUUGUGCCUGGCGAGGAGGAGGAGGAGGAGGAGGAGGA
rnacentral:lncRNA from 1 species